rnacentral:rRNA from 1 species
CAGCCGCCGCGGUAAUACAGAGGGUGCGAGCGUUAAUCGGAUUUACUGGGCGUAAAGCGUGCGUAGGCGGCUUCUUAAGUCGGAUGUGAAAUCCCUGAGCUUAACUUAGGAAUUGCAUUCGAUACUGGGAAGCUAGAGUAUGGGAGAGGAUGGUAGAAUUCCAGGUGUAGCGGUGAAAUGCGUAGAGAUCUGGAGGAAUACCGAUGGCGAAGGCAGCCAUCUGGCCUAAUACUGACGCUGAGGUACGAAAGCAUGGGGAGCAAACAGGAUUAGAUACCCGAGUAGUCCCUGUCUCUUGUAC